rnacentral:lncRNA from 1 species
UUCUCUUCCUCUGCCGACCCUUGGAUUUCCCAGAACGGAGGUCACGCAGGAAAAUGGACUCGCACGCAAACUCACCCCUCUGCUGAUGCUGAAAAACUCUGCAGUGAUGUCUCUGGGGACCAAAGCCCUGCAUCUAGACACAGAACAUGCAAAGGAAGGGAUUUUAAAGGCCCCAGCAUUAUAAGGACCCAAGGAAAUUCCUCCCUCUGAGCUGAAUGGGAAGUCUUUCCCCCCUGCCACCUCCCAGUUGGAAUUAUAAAGCAGAAUGAAAGUUGCAGGCAGGCUGUACAUCCAACACGAAGCCACCUGGGGUGAGGGUUGGCUACAGACUCUGAG